CUCAACAGUCAACUUCUGAGCUGGCAGAAGAAAUAAUUAGUGAACUUAAAGAUAGUUGAAUAGAAAUGAUCUAAUCCAAAGGACAGAGGAUAAGAAAAGGAAGAAAAAGGAACAGUCUCAGAGACCUGUGAAUCUACUUGCUUAGAAUCCACUUACAUAAAAAAUCCUGUUAAUUGGCAAAUCACAUCACUCAAUUUUCUAAUCUGUUAACUCAUCCUUCUGUGAGUGGAGGGGACAUUAAUAUCAGGUCUGGGCUGAUGCAAGCCUGCCACUGACUACAAUACUGUUUCCUUGGAAACUGCAGAAUUAAGAUCCCCAGCCCGCAGUAUGCCACGUUCCUUUGCAAGGGUCCCAGCGAGCUGUUCCUACCCGGCCUCUUCACCCCCAACUGCAGGGUCUGCAGCUGAGCUGUCCAACCUAGUCCAGUUGGUCUCUGGACAGAUACAGACGACCGAGUCCUUAAUCUAGCGCCAAGCAGCAGAAUCAAGAUCAGAAUCUCAAGUCCUGUGAGCAGGUGAAGAUGGGUUUUGAUGGGAAAUUCAAGGAUCAUCAGAGGACCCUAAGGUGAU